UAAUUUUAGUUACGUGUCUUCCUCCAAAUUGUUAGUAGACACGUAGUAUCUCUAUCAUUGAGAUUUAUCUUCCAAAAUUUAUUUCUAUCUAUCUCUUCUCUCUUGCUAUGUCAAUAAGAUGAGAACUGUUCUACUAUUUGAGCUGAUGCGAGCUCAAAUUUGAAAACAGUGAAGCCACUGGAAGAGUAAUUAUUGCAAAACAAUUGACCGGUUGAUGAUCUUAUUCAGUUGAUGGAGGGCGAUAAUACUGGAUCAAUUAACAUUGAAAAUCCAGUACUCAUUUGGAUGGCCCCGUUACUCCAGCUUCCAUAAGACUCUUUCACCUAAAGGUGUCAACUAUGAAGGUUCAGAGGUACAAGAUACAGAUUAUCCUCAGUAGUUCAGUCUCCAUCAGUAGCAAUAGCAUGAGUCCUCUUCUUUCAUGGAUGAAUCUCAGCUUACUAUUAUUGUUUCAGAUUUUGUUUAUUUCAGUUGACGGAGUUAGUUGGGGACAUGUCCCAUCAACUCCAUAGUUCAGACAGUUUAGAGGCUUUUCAGAUGGAUGUAUUAGUAUUUAGUUUUUAGUUUUGAGUAUGUAUAGAUGUGUUGAACCUUAUGGCAUGUUUCCGCAUUUAUUUUAGAUA